rnacentral:rRNA from 1 species
ACGGGGUGCAGCAGGCGCGAAAACUUUACAAUGCUGGAAACAGCGAUAAGGGGACCUCGAGUGCCAGGUUACAAAUCUGGCUGUCGUGAUGCCUAAAAAGCAUUGCAUAGCAAGGGCCGGGCAAGACCGGUGCCAGCCGCCGCGGUAACACCGGCGGCUCGAGUGGUAACCGUUAUUAUUGGGUCUAAAGGGUCUGUAGCCGGCCGGAUAAGUCUCUUGGGAAAUCUGGCAGCUUAACUGUCAGGCUUUCAGGAGAUACUGUCUGGCUCGAGGCCGGGAGAGGUGAGGGGUACUUCAGGGGUAGGGGUGAAAUCUUGUAAUCCUUGAAGGACCACCAGUGGCGAAGGCGUCUCACCAGAACGGACCUGACGGCAAGGGACGAAAGCUAGGGGCACGAACCGGAUUAGAUACCCGGGUAGUCCUAGCCGUAAACGAUACUCGCUAGGCGUCGGCCACGGUGCGACCGUUGUCGGUGCCGUAGGGAAGCCGUGAAGCGAGCCACCUGGGAAGUACGGCCGCAAGGCUGAAACUUAAAGGAAUUGGCGGGGGAGCAC